rnacentral:rRNA from 1 species
UACGAAGGGGGCUAGCGUUGCUCGGAAUCACUGGGCGUAAAGGGUGCGUAGGCGGGCCUUUAAGUCAGGGGGGAAAUCCUGGAGCUCAACUCCAGAACUGCCUUUGAUACUGAGGAUCUUGAGUUCGGGAGAGGUGAGUGGAACUGCGAGUGUAGAGGUGAAAUUCGUAGAUAUUCGCAAGAACACCAGUGGCGAAGGCGGCUCACUGGCCCGAUACUGACGCUGAGGUGCGAAAGCGUGGGGAGCAAACAGG